rnacentral:antisense_RNA from 1 species
UUUUCUAACUAGCAAUUUCGAGUGCAAGUGCCACAGUGUCAGCUAAAGAAACACAACUGCGGGUUUUCUGCCCAGCAAAAUGGUUCUGAAAUGUUACUGAAUAGCUCACAGAGGACGCCAAUCUACGACAACAGAGACAUAAGCAUAUAGGAGAAAGGGUCCACACAUCCUCCUUUCAAAGUGUGGAGAAAAGAGAGAGAAAGGGAGAGAAGAGUCAUGGACCCUACUUUAUGGUUGCCAUGGAUGCAAGGUCAGCCUUCCACCCUUGGAUCUACCAGCAGAGUUCAGACAGGUCAACGUGUGACCGGCUCAGGCCCUGGGGUUAAAAGUUCAAGCAGCGAUGGAAAAACCAAUAUGUCCACACAGAGUAUGCUGUACAAUUUAUUUCAAUUUACAUCAAGCCAUGCAUAUAAAAUUUAGAUAAAUUCCAUUCAGAUCUGAUGUUGCCUGACACACAAUGUAUGCAAACAGAUGUCUGUGGGGCUUUUUCUGUGCUUUAGAAAACAACAUUAAAUUU